rnacentral:rRNA from 1 species
UACGUAGGGCGCAAGCGUUGUCCGGAAUCAUUGGGCGUAAAGAGCGUGUAGGCGGUCCGGUAAGUCCGCUGUAAAAGUCCAGGGCUCAACCCUGGAAAGCCGGUGGAUACUGUCGGGCUAGAGUGCGGAAGAGGCGAGUGGAAUUCCUGGUGUAGCGGUGAAAUGCGCAGAUAUCAGGAGGAACACCGAUUGCGAAGGCAGCUCGCUGGGACGUAACUGACGCUGAGACGCGAAAGCGUGGGGAGCAAACAGG